rnacentral:rRNA from 1 species
UACGUAGGGUGCGAGCGUUGUCCGGAAUACUGGGCGUAAAGCGUGCGCAGGCGGUGAUGUAAGACAGAUGUGAAAUCCCCGGGCUCAACCUGGGAACUGCAUUUGUGACUGCAUCGCUGGAGUGCGGCAGAGGGGGAUGGAAUUCCGCGUGUAGCAGUGAAAUGCGUAGAUAUGCGGAGGAACACCGAUGGCGAAGGCAAUCCCCUGGGCCUGCACUGACGCUCAUGCACGAAAGCGUGGGGAGCAAACAGG